rnacentral:rRNA from 1 species
UGGGGAAUAUUGCACAAUGGGCGCAAGCCUGAUGCAGCCAUGCCGCGUGUAUGAAGAAGGCCUUCGGGUUGUAAAGUACUUUCAGCGGGGAGGAAGGGAGUAAAGUUAAUACCUUUGCUCAUUGACGUUACCCGCAGAAGAAGCACCGGCUAACUCCGUGCCAGCAGCCGCGGUAAUACGGAGGGUGCAAGCGUUAAUCGGAAUUACUGGGCGUAAAGCGCACGCAGGCGGUUUGUUAAGUCAGAUGUGAAAUCCCCGGGCUCAACCUGGGAACUGCAUCUGAUACUGGCAAGCUUGAGUCUCGUAGAGGGGGUAGAAUUCCAGGUGUAGCGGUGAAAUGCGUAGAGAUCUGGAGGAAUACCGGUGGCGAAGGCGGCCCCCUGGACGAAGACUGACGCUCAGGUGCGAAAGCGUGGGGAGCAAACA